rnacentral:misc_RNA from 1 species
UAGAAUGCGAUAUGCAAUGUGAAUUGCAGAACCAUGAAUCAUCGGAUCUUUGAACGCAACUUGCACUGGUAUAACCAGUAUACUUGUUUCAGUGUGCUCAUUCAAAUUUACAAAACAAAUGUGAGAGAAAUUCUCUCAUGAAGUAAAUGCUCUCUGUAGCAGUCACAAUCAUUUGUGAACUAUAGAUGUAGUUAAAUUGACAAUUUCGCACCUGAAGUCAAGUAAGAUAACCCGCUGGACUUAA